rnacentral:tRNA from 1 species
GGUGAUUAGCUCAGCUGGGAGAGCACCUCCCUUACAAGGAGGGGGUCGGCGGUUCGAUCCCGU